rnacentral:rRNA from 1 species
GUACACACCGCCCGUCAAGCCACGAAAAUGGGGGGGGCCCGAAGUCGCUGAGCUAACCCGCAAGGGAGGCAGGCGCCGAAGACGAAACUCCUGAUUGGGACUAAGUCGUAACAAGGUAACCGUAGGUGAACCUGCAGAAGGAUCA